GUGCACCCUCUGAUUGUGGUGGUGCAUCCGCCUCAUCCAUUUCUGGUGGGUCAGAGAUGAAGGUGGUAGUGGGCGGCGAGGACAUUUCAGUUGGUAUGAGAAACUAGAUAAAAGGGAUUAACAAAGAGGAAAUGUCUCGAAACCCUGAAAGAGGCGUCUUCUGUGUCACGGAAAAUAGAAUAACCAUAAACUAGUGUCACUGCUUUAGCUUUUGUGAUGUGAGCGUGAGGCAGAGACUCGCACAGCUCAGGGCUUCUCACGAUUCAGUGCCCUUGGCCUUGGGUCCAUCUUCUACAAG
rnacentral:misc_RNA from 1 species